rnacentral:rRNA from 1 species
UACAGAGGGUGCAAACGUUGCUCGGAAUUAUUGGGCGUAAAGCGCACGUAGGCGGUCCAGUAAGUCGGUUGUGAAAGCCCUCGGCUUAACCGAGGAAGUGCAGUCGAAACUGCUGGACUUGAGUACUGAAGAGGGUCGCGGAAUUCCCGGUGUAGAGGUGAAAUUCGUAGAUAUCGGGAGGAACACCAGUGGCGAAGGCGGCGACCUGGGCAGAUACUGACGCUGAGGUGCGAAAGCGUGGGGAGCAAGCAGG